rnacentral:rRNA from 1 species
GAUGAACGCUGGCGGCGUGCCUAAUACAUGCAAGUAGAACGCUGAAGGAAGGAGCUUGCUCUUUCCGGAUGAGUUGCGAACGGGUGAGUAACGCGUAGGUAACCUGCCUGGUAGCGGGGGAUAACUAUUGGAAACGAUAGCUAAUACCGCAUAACAGUAGAUGUUGCAUGAUAUCUACUUAAAAGGUGCAAUUGCACCACUACCAGAUGGACCUGCGUUGUAUUAGCUAGUUGGUGAGGUAACGGCUCACCAAGGCGACGAUACAUAGCCGACCUGAGAGGGUGAUCGGCCACACUGGGACUGAGACACGGCCCAGACUCCUACGGGAGGCAGCAGUAGGGAAUCUUCGGCAAUGGACGGAAGUCUGACCGAGCAACGCCGCGUGAGUGAAGAAGGUUUUCGAAUCGUAAAGCUCUGUUGUAAGAGAAGAACGAGUGUGAGAGUGGAAAGUUCGCACUGUGACGGUAUCUUACCAGAAAGAGACGGCUAACUACGUG